UUUAACUGAAGAGUUUGAUCAUGGCUCAGAUUGAACGCUGGCGGCAGGCUUAACACAUGCAAGUCGAGCGGGGGAAAGUACUUCGGUACUAACCUUAGCGGCGGACGGGUGAGUAAUACUUAGGAAUCUGCCUAUUAGUGGGGGACAACAUCUCGAAAGGGAUGCUAAUACCGCAUACGUCCUACGGGAGAAAGCAGGGGAUCUUUAUGACCUUGCGCUAAUAGAUGAGCCUAAGUCGGAUUAGCUAGUUGGUGGGGUAAAGGCCUACCAAGGCGACGAUCUGUAGCGGGUCUGAGAGGAUGAUCCGCCACACUGGGACUGAGACACGGCCCAGACUCCUACGGGAGGCAGCAGUGGGGAAUAUUGGACAAUGGGGGGAACCCUGAUCCAGCCAUGCCGCGUGUGUGAAGAAGGCCUUAUGGUUGUAAAGCACUUUAAGCGAGGAGGAGGCUUACCUGGUUAAUACCCAGGAUAAGUGGACGUUACUCGCAGAAUAAGCACCGGCUAACUCUGUGCCAGCAGCCGCGGUAAUACAGAGGGUGCAAGCGUUAAUCGGAUUUACUGGGCGUAAAGCGCGCGUAGGCGGCCAAUUAAGUCAAAUGUGAAAUCCCCGAGCUUAACUUGGGAAUUGCAUUCGAUACUGUUUGGCUAGAGUGUGGGAGAGGAUGGUAGAAUUCCAGGUGUAGCGGUGAAAUGCGUAGAGAUCUGGAGGAAUACCGAUGGCGAAGGCAGCCAUCUGGCCUAACACUGACGCUGAGGUGCGAAAGCAUGGGGAGCAAACAGGAUUAGAUACCCUGGUAGUCCAUGCCGUAAACGAUGUCUACUAGCCGUUGGGGCCUUUGAGGCUUUAGUGGCGCAGCUAACGCGAUAAGUAGACCGCCUGGGGAGUACGG
rnacentral:rRNA from 1 species